UACGUAGGGUGCAAGCGUUGUCCGGAAUUAUUGGGCGUAAAGAGCUCGUAGGCGGUUUGUCGCGUCUGCUUUGAAAACUCGGGGCUUAACUCCGGGCCUGCAGUGGGUACGGGCAGACUAGAGUGCGGUAGGGGAGACUGGAAUUCCUGGUGUAGCGGUGAAAUGCGCAGAUAUCAGGAGGAACACCGGUGGCGAAGGCGGGUCUCUGGGCCGUAACUGACGCUGAGGAGCGAAAGCGUGGGGAGCGAACAGG
rnacentral:rRNA from 1 species